CCUGUCUCCUGACCCUGACCUCCUGAUUCCUAGUAUCUGACUGUCAGUUCAUGACCUCCUGGUUCUGAACCCUGGUUGGCAUGGGGAGAUGGUCCCUCCUACCCCAUCCUACAUUAAUCACUGGCCAACUUCGUCCCAGUGUCAACAGUUUGUAUGGAUGAUUUCCUGUUCCUCCUUCUGGCUUAAGUAGGGGGAGCGGGCCAACCAGAAGCUCCAGUGUUCCAGGCUCCGGGGUGAUGCCCACUAUCUGAGCUGGUCUUCAAGGAGUUUUGAUUCUAGUACCUGCCAGUAAGUUGUUGGCUGCAGUGUGAUGAUAGGUAAGAACGCUGUGGAUCUGGAUUCAAGUUCCAUGGAUUGCAGGGAUCUUCCCAGCAGGCAAUUGUAUUUGUACAAUCGAACUUUAAUGCCCCUUUUAAUUUUGUUUUAAACACUCAAAGGUACCUUAGCCAGCCAGGGAAUAGGAGUCCUUUUUAUUCCACCUUUUCCCAAAUCUGCAGAUUGAAUUUGCCAAACCUUAUGGAAAAACAUAAACCCCUUGAGUUCAACUGGCCCUUUGCUGAUAAGAGAAAACGGGCAUCUCUUCUAGGAGCAGAAAACAAAGAGCAGAGAUCUCAGAAGCGAGAUUUUGAUAGUUGAUGCAAGAAGAUGGGAACAGUCAGCUGUGAAGCAAGGGAUAAAAGAGGAGAUUUGAGGCCAAAGAAGUGGUGAGAACUAAGAGAAGGGAAGCAAAGUGUUUGAUCAGAGAGUGGCUGGGAACUAAAGGGUUGUGAAGUCAGAGCAGCACCCUGAGAUUUCAGGACCAUUGUGAUGGACUUGUACUUGUAAGCUCCAAGUUCAAAACUGGCUACAGGGAGAAUGGAUUUGGCAAUCUCCUCCUCAGUGUUGUCAACCUCCAGCAUUCAAAAAUCAUGAAUAGGGCCUCCAAAAUCUAGAGAUUGCCUCUCAACUCAUGACCUGUGAAAGAAAUAAUACAGUUCAGAUUCUUUUAUCUGCUUUCUGGUUUUGGAGCUUUUAGGGCCAAUUUUCAAGCUUUUCUCCACAACCCUGAUAUCUAGAACAUAAGAACGGACACACUGGGUCAGACCAGUGAUCGUUCUAGCCCAGUAUCCUGUCUUCCAACAGGGGCCAAUACCGGGUGCUUCAGAGGGAAUGAACAGAACAAGGCAAUUAUCAAGCCAUCCAUCCCUUGUCAUCCAGUCCCAACUUCUGGCAGUCAAAGGUUUGGGGAAACCCAGAGCAUGGAGUUGCGCCCUUGACCAUCUUGGAUAAUAGCCACUGAUGGACCUGUCUUGCAUUCACUUAUCUAACCCUUUUUUGAACUGUUAUACUUUUGGCCUUCACAUCAUUCCCUGGCAAUGAGUUGACUGUGUUGUGUGAGGAGAUACAUUUACAAAGAAGCACUGGGAGCUAAGGCAGUAAAUUGAAGAGCUGGUGCUAAAGUCUGAAAACUGACUCGCAAAACUGGUGUGCUGGUGAGAUCUGCAAGAAGGCGAAUAUCAGAGAGCCGCAAAAUAUGCAAAUGUGCUAUUUACCAUGUGCCCAGCCUUUAGAAUCCAGUAGAAGGCCAAGUUCUCAUAGGACUUAUGGAAAGCAGC